rnacentral:snRNA from 1 species
AGACAUAAUAUAAAAGAUAUAG